rnacentral:rRNA from 1 species
UCUGCAACUCGACUACAUGAAGCUGGAAUCGCUAGUAAUCGCAGGUCAGCAUACUGCGGUGAAUACGUUCCCGGGUCUUGUACACACCGCCCGUCACACCAUGGGAGCCGGAAAUGCCCGAAGCCAGUGACCCAACCUUAGGGAGGGAGCUGUCGAAGGUGGAGCCGGUAACUGGGGUGAAGUCGUAACAAGGUAGC